rnacentral:lncRNA from 1 species
CAAGAAUGCCCAUGAAAUUAUAUGGGAAAUUACCAAAAUACCCUUUUUGUCCAUUUUAGUGUAUUAUUAGUAGCAUUGUUGAUGGAAUCUUCAAUUAUGCUAGCUAAUCAAUGGCUUCUAGAAUUCCCUCAUGCUACUAUACCAUUACACCUCAAUUAUACCAACCCUAUUGAGCAUCCAAGGCACUUGACAUGGUCUAUAUAUAGAGAUUGAGGGAGAAAUAAUGCAAAUGCACACUAAUAUUUUCUAAAAUCCCUAGACACUCUCUCAAGCUCUAGCUAACGAAUUUGCCUUGCCCAUAAGCUCAUAAUCAAAGCCCAACCAUCACAAAAACCAAAUCAGAAGCAUCAAAGCCAAAAAAAAAUCAGAAAUCAAAGCUUGAAAAGGUAUAAAAUCCCAAAAAUUAGAAAUCCUUCGAUUCGAUGUUAAUUGAUGCAAUUGAUUGUUUAAAGUUGUGUAAUAGGGAGUCUAUUAAUGUUCUGGGUUGUAAAAACACAGACCCAUAACAUCAAAGUGCACGAAUUUGAAGAUUUAAGCAAGUUGGAAAAAAAAAUGGAUUCUGUGAUUUUUAAUCAAAUGUCAGGGCUUAUAACUCUUUUUUUUCGAUCAUGAUUUUUGUUGUUUAAAAUUUGAUAUGUGUAGCUUGUUAUGUGUUCUUGAAUCUGCAAAAAGAUUAAAGGACAGAUCAAUUCUAGAUCAAAAGAUAUAAGCGGUCAAAACCCCGUUGACCGAGUCUGCCAUUUCGCGAACCCAGAAUUUCUUAGAACAGUUAUCCGUGUUCAAGUUUGACUGCUCAGAUCUUGCUGAUUCUAUGCUUUUUUUAGUGUUAUGAUGAUUUUUAAUUGUAGUUCUACAUGUGUCUACACACUGCAGUUGAUAGAUCACACAAACAACGCACAGAUUUCAAGUUAUAAGGGUCCAAAGUAGGCACCUCGACUGUUCUUCAGUUGAAGAACAAAGUUGUCAGAAUUUUUGAAGGCUAAUAUCUUCGUGAUGUGUUGUUUCUUGGAUCUGAAAAUUGUUUGUUAGUGUAGUCUUACACUUCUACUACACGAUUGAUCUUUAAUCUAGUCCAGAAACACAAUAGGUUAAGAAUUAUUCACGGUCAAACAUGGUCCCUCGGUAACUGCCUUGUGUUUUCUGGGCUUGAGGAAGAACAGCUAUAGCGACAGUUAUGUCGCUAUAGGCCCCUUUGGCGACAGAGUUGAAUUAUUUUAAAAUUUUCAAUUUCUGGAAAUUCCGAAAAUGAUUUAAAAAUUAGAAAAAUUAGAUUUUAAAUUUGAAAAAUUAUUUUAAAGUCCAAAAAAUAAUAUUUAAUUAUUUUGAGUAUAUUUCAUAAAUAUUUAAUAUUUUUGGAAUAUAAAAGGUAUUUAUUUAUUUAUUUAAAAUAUUAAAUAAAUGAUUUAAAAAUAGUUUUAAUUCAUGAAAAAUCAUGAAAAAUUAUUUUAUGGUAUAAGAAAAUAUUUGAAGUUAUUUCCCAUGACUUUUAAUAUUUUGUGAUGAAUUUCAUUAAUUAAUUAUUAUUAAUGAUAUUAAAGUUAUUUAAUGAUUAUAUUAAAUAAUUUAGUUUAAAAAUGAUUUUAAUAUUAUAAAAAUCAUUUUAAAUGAAAAUAAGGUAUUUAAAAAUAUUUUAAGUUAUAAAAUAUAACUUUUAAUAUUUAAAUGAUAAUUUCAUUAAUAAUUAAAUAUUAAUGAUAUUAAGAUAAUAUUAAUGAUAUUUAGUUUAUUUAAUGAUUAAUAUUAAAUAAAUAGUUUAAAAAUGGUUUUACUUAUUUAAAAACCAUUUAAAGAGGAUAUUAAGGAUUUAAAAAUAUUUUAAGUUAUAAUUAAUGACUUUUAAUAUUUGGAUAAAUAGUACAUUAAUAUUUAAAUAUUAAUGGUAAUUAUUUGGGUAAUAUAAAUGUUUUAAAAAUAGUUUGAGUUAUUAUAAAUAACUUUUAUAUUUUGGCAAUGGUUUCAUUAAUAGUUUAGUAUUAAUUAAACUAUUAAUGAUAAUGGAAUUGUUUAAUGUUUAAAUCAUUUAAUUAUGAUUCCGAUAUUUGAAAGUUAUAGCCGGCCAAACUAGCUGACUUGAGAACCGAUUAUGAAGUUCUGAAUUUGAAGAAGAACACCUAUAGUAACAGUUAUAUCACUAUAGGCCCUUUAGUGACAGAUUUGAAUUAUUUUAAAUUUUUCAAUUUCUGGAAAUUGCGAAAAUGAUUAAAAAUAAGAUGUCUGAUAUUUACAGAUGUUGAGGUAUAGAAUAAGAGUCUUAGACUCAGUAUUUACCCGAUAAAGCUGUCGGUACGCCGACAAAUGUCAGACCUUAUAAAAGAAAGAAAAGACUACUGUAAGAGCAUGGAUGAGAUAUUUGAAAAAUGUAUAAAAAUAUUUCAAGUAUAGAAUAGGAACUAAAAGUAUGAUCACUGUGAUUAUGUGAUUAGACUAUGUGCUGACUGUAAUAGACAGUACUAUGUGUUAAGAUAUAUUGUUCUAAUCGAACGAAUGAUCUGAUUAUUGAUAGGUUGUGAUAAAGAGAUAAAACCUAAGUUGAGAUUUGUAAUCAGCGAAUCAGGCAAGUAUCCUACCUUUGCAUUUUCUUUAUGCAAUGGACAUGAGUAAGAAGUUUCAGAAUUAUUCUAUUCCUGUACAGAUUAUGUACGCUUUGAUUAUCAACAUGUUAGCUCAGAUAUAUAUUCUGUUAAGUUGAUUUCUAAAUGGUUAUACAAGUGUCCCCACUUGGAUAACCAUGGCAUUUAUUCACAUGUUGAUAUACCUCUGUCAAUUACCCGUAUACAUAUAUGUUGAAUUACAUAUUAUUGUUGAGCAAGAUUAAAAACCUUCGGGUUUGGAACCAGGCAUGUAUGAACAUCCCUAUAUGGGAAGAUUUUUGCGCCCAAGGCGGAUAGAGUGAGCGAUGAAUUUCGUUCAAGUUAUGUAGUAUUGAUCAAUACAGGGUACAACGGGGCUGAUCACCCUCCGUGCCCGUAAGCUAGAGCGGUUUGCGGAUGGAUUUCUGCCAAACCUUUUCGAAAAUGAAAACAAUGUUCAUAGUAUGAUUCUUAAACCCUAUUCAUGGGUAGAGCCAGAGCCAAAUUUAAAUAAUUUGGAAGAGAGUUGUUAUGUGAAUUUUUUAUCAGUACAGAUUACUUCACAACUUUCGAUUCGUUGUAGAAGUGUUAUGUAAAGAGAAUACUUAUAUUCUUUCAGCUUAUAUAUAUAAUUGCUAUUACUUGCUGGGCCCUCAAAUGCUCAUCCUUGCUUAAAUUAAAUGUUUUCAGUUAUGUAUGAGCAACCUGAAGGCUCAGGCACGAACAAAGGGAAAGGAAAGUUAUUCGAAUGAGUUUAUAUUAUGAGUUAAUGGUUAUAGUUUAGUAAGACAAUGGAAUCUAUUGUCAGGUAUUGUAAGGAAUGUAUUUUGAAGGUCUCGUACCUGGGGAAUUAAACUUUGAUGUAUGUAAAUUAAGUUCGAAUGUAAUAUUACUAUUGUAUGAUUCAGCUUAUAGAAAUGGUAUCGUGAAGCACCGAGUUCGGGUUUCAAGUACUCAGAUUUGGGGGCGCCACAGGUUGGUAUCAAAGCUGUAGGUUAUAAACGUUAGGAAUGAGAAACCUAGGUUAUAACCUUAGUAGAAUGGAGGACGAAAGUUAAUAUAGAUAUUCAGUAGACCAUGAGACGAAGUACUCUGGUGAGAAGUUAUAGGAUAUGAUGAGUCGAAGAGAUCCAUCAAGUUAUAUUUUAUUUCGGUACUAAUGUUGUCUCGUUUAUUGUGGUCAUAGGAUGGAUGACGAAAGUCAAAAUAGUAAUUCCUUGACCCAAGAGACGAUGGACUCUAGCGAGGAGUACACAGACAAUGAGAUGAUAAGAGAUUUGAUAGUUAGGAACGACGAAUUAAAGGUUAGAGCUGAGCAGGCGGAGGCACAGAAUCGUACUUUCCAGAUUUCGGAACAGCAGUACAAGGACACUGCUCACCGAACACAGAUGGAGUUAGCAGAGUUACGAGGGAGGUUGGAGCAGAGAGAGAUACAGAUAGGACAGUUGGAGGUUGAGAUAGAAGCCAAAGACACCAGGAUAUAUACCUUGGAGCAGGCUUUAGACAUCGCCUUCAUGCGAUUCGAUGCAGAGUGGAUGAAGCUGCCUUUCGGCAGAGAGAUAGGAGUUGAUGAGAAUUGAAUAAAUUCAUCGUCAAACAAAAUAAGAGACAACGUAUAUAAAACUCUUGAUUGCUGUGUCUAUAUACUAUAUGCUAAUCAGGGUAACUUAUGUAUGUAGAUGUCUGGUGGAAAAGAUAUGUGGAAUAAGAAGGAUCAGAUCCAUACCCCCGAGCUAAUAUCGAGGCCAACAGCUGAAAUAGAGGCUCACAGGGAACCCAAGUCGGACGAGGUGGCUAUUGUAGAAAAUGUAGCAUCAGAUCCAGAAAUGGUGGAUUUGACAGAUAGUGAUUCAAACACUAAAGUUGAAGCUGCUCAAGCAUCAACAGAGGUGCAGGAUCUGGAGAACAAGGUUUCUACGCUGGAAAGGCUGUGGGAGAUAGAGACGUUGCUUAAUAUUCAGCUGCGUGAAGCGUUGCUAGAAAUAAUGGAAAAGCAGAAUAAGCUCAAAAUCCGAAUUGACCAGAUAGGAGCCUCAAGCAACACAUCGUGUGCAGCUCCGAGAGGUAAGGGAAAAAAAAGAUAGAAGAUCCUGACUUAGGAAAACCUGAUAAGAAGAAAGGGUAGAAGAAUUUACUAAUGCUGGGAACGACAGCCAGAACUGAUGCAAAACUUUGCAGACAUGAUGGCUCAGGCUAUGCAGCAGGGAAUACCAGCUGCAGGGAACCAGCCAGGAAAUCACUUGGCAAGUUUCAAAGACUUCAAAGCCGUAGGACCACCAGAAUUCAGAGGAUCAGCUGACCCUACAGAAGCCUAGACAUGGGUGAACGAAAUAGAAAUGGCGUUCAUAAUUGCUAGAGUAGAUGAGGGACAAAAGACCGUUUUUGCCACUUAUAUGUUGAAAGGGGAAGCUAACUUCUGGUGGGAGGCAAAUAAGACUCGGGGGAGAAGGAGAAAUUACUUGGGAUAGGUUUAAGGAUUUAUUUUUCGAAAACUAUCUCUCUGUUAGUAUGCAGUCUAGAAUGGAGGUAAAAUUCCUAGAGUUCAAACAGGAGAACAUGACUGUUGCGGAGUAUGCCGCAAAGUUUAAUGAGUUGGCUAGGUUUGCUCCACAUCAAGUGAGCACAGAAGCUAGAAAGGCAAGAAGAUUUGAGCUGGGCUUAAAACCCUGGCUCUAUAAUAAGGUGUCAGUACUGCAAAUCAAUACUUUUGCAGCACUCAUGGAAAAGGCUAUCAUAGCGGAACAGGGGAGUGAGGCCAUGAGCCUCUACCACAAGGAGAAGAAGAACAAAAGCAAGUCAGGAGGAGCAACGAAGAUGGAAAGUAGUAGCGAGAAUAGGGGUUAGAAGAGAAUGAGGAAUUUUUCAGGGAAUGUUCAAGUGAAACAGGAAGGUACAAAGAAGCAGGUAGUGCAGUGCAAGAACUGCGGAAAGAAUCACUCUGGCGAGUGUCUAAAGGGUAAGUUUGUGUGCUAUAAGUACGGGCAAGAGGGUCAUAUCUCUCCCAACUGCCCCAACUCAAGGAAGAUCAGUGGAUGCUUCAUAUGCGGAUCGACUGAACAUCAGGUGAGGAACUAUCCAAAGAGGGGAAUGGAGGCAGGAAACGUAACCACAGGGAGAAGUAGUGGGACUUUAGCAAUUUCAGGCCCAAACUUAACCAGUACCCCAACGAAAGCAACUCCGAAGGUCUACAACAUGACGGUCCAGGAUACAGUGGCAGCUGGAAACAGAACUCCAGGUGCUAUGUGAAUCACUUAUAUAUCUUAUAUGUUUUCCUACAUAUAUAUAUAUAUAUAUAGUAGAUGAUUUUAUAAAGAAAUUUUGAGUUCUUUUAGAAAUCAAAUUUCUGCCUAAUCAGAGCGUUAUGAAGAAUAGUUAAAGAUCAGUUUGAUCAAGUAUGAUUGAGAUCUACGUACAAUGAUUAUAUGCUAUGUACCCUUCUGCAUAUGAGUUUUUAAAGCGGUGAUUCCGGGGACGGAAUCCUUAUAAGGGAGGGUGAAUGUAAUAACCCGAGAUUUUCUAUAUAAAAUAAAUAAGAAAUUUUGCUUAUAAAUUUUUUUAUUUAUUUAUUUAAUGACGAGAAUAAGUGUCUAGUAAUGUGAACGAUAAAUGCAAAUAUAUUUAUUACUUGAAAAAAUUAGAAAUAAUUUUGGAAUAAUUAAUUACCACAAAACUAUAUUCUUAUGAUAAUUAAUUUCUGUAAGCCGAAAUGUUUUUAUUAAUUAUUUUUCAUGAAAACAUGAUUGGAAAUAAUAUAUGAAGUGAUAAUUAGAAUUAUAUAAUAAAUAUUUUAUUAUAUGAUUUGCUCAAAAUAUUUAAGUUAAUUAUUUUAACUUGAUUAUUGAUGUUGUGUAAGAAAGAGAAUUCAGAUAUGAAAUUCAAACCCAGGAUUGGGAUUGUGAUCAAGAGAUGAGAAUAAUAAUAUUAUAUUAUUGUUAUAAUAAUUUUACAGUACCAUAAAUGUGUACUGUGUAUGUGCGGACAGAUAAUAUUGAGCAAUGACGGUUAAUUAGGUCAUAACACAGUACUGUGCUGUGAAAUCCUAAUUGUUAAACUCAGUUAUGAGAAAUGACUGAGUAGUGACUGUGUAUAUGAAGUUAUUGUGUAUAAGAUGUCGAUAAUUAGGACAAACCCUAAUUAUUACAACCCUAACCGGUUGAAGUUAGAGAUCGUAAUGACUAUGUUAGUAACAUACACAUAUAAUUAGAGAACCCUAAUGGUCAAUUAGAAACCCUAAUUGAUGGCGUUAAGAAACCCUAAUUAUAGAACCCUAAAUUUUAAAUCGAAAACCCUAAUUUUAAAUUANNNNNNNNNNNNNNNNNNNNNNNNNNNNNNNNNNNNNNNNNNNNNNNNNNNNNNNNNNNNNNNNNNNNNNNNNNNNNNNNNNNNNNNNNNNNNNNNNNNNCUAUACCAUUACACCUCAAUUAUACCAACCCUAUUGAGCAUCCAAGGCACUUGACAUGGUCUAUAUAUAGAGAUUGAGGGAGAAAUAAUGCAAAUGCACACUAACAUUUUCUAAAAUCCCUAGACACACUCUCUCAAGCUCCAGCCAACGAAUUUGCCUUGCCCAUAAGCUCAUAAUCAAAGCCCAAC